CACGUGGGCCUGCUCGCGCACGCGCGGGCAAGAGCCGAAGGGGACGCCGGGAGCAGUUGUCCUUGAACAUAGAUGUGAGAGAUCCCCAGGGGUGCCUCCUGAUGAACGUAACUACUGGAUUGAAAGGAAUUUCUUCAUAUGGCUCCUGAAGAAGUGACCAUCACAGUUCGCCUCAUUCGUUCAUUUGAACACCGCAACUUCAAACCCAUAGUGUAUCAUGGGAUUAACUUGGACCAAACCGUAAAGGAAUUUAUAGUAUUCCUAAAACAAGAUGUCCCUUUAAGGACCAGCCUGCCACCACCAUUCAGAAAUUAUAAAUAUGAUAAACUAAAGAUUAUUCAUCAAGCACAUAAGUCAAAGACAAACGAUCUCGUGCUGAGCUUGGAAGACGAUGACAGACUCCUGCUGGAAGAAGGCAGCACUCUGAAAGCAGCUGGCAUCGCCAGUGAGACUGAAGUCGCAUUCUUCUGUGGAGAAGAUUAUGAGAAGUACAAAGCUAAUCCCGUUUCAGCCUGGUGAAGACAUCUCCGGGCCUCCUUUUUUGCAAACGUGUAUUAAGCUCCUUAUUUCACCAUCAUUAAGCUAAGUGCUGAAUACACAGAUGACCUAGUGAACGCAGAAGAGAAAGAGAUGCAGUUUGUGGAAAAAUAGACUGAGAAGAUAGAUUUACUUCGGGGCAAAAAGUUCACGGAUAAUUUUUUUCAUGCUAUACAUUUUUGACGAGUUUUUUUUUUUAACUCCUUAUAUGCAUGGGCUUUAAUGUUUUUUGCACCACGAUAAACUAAAGUUUUUUAAACAUUGUU